CCUACGGGUGGCAGCAGUGGGGAAUAUUGCGCAAUGGGCGAAAGCCUGACGCAGCGACGCCGCGUGAGGGAUGAAGGUCUUCGGAUCGUAAACCUCUGUCAGCAGGGAAGAACGGUCACUGUGCUAAUCAGCAGUGAAUUGACGGUACCUGCAAAGGAAGCACCGGCUAACUCCGUGCCAGCAGCCGCGGGAAUACGGAGGGUGCGAGCGUUAAUCGGAAUUACUGGGCGUAAAGCGGUCGUAGGCGGGAUGUCAAGUCAAGGGUGAAAUCCCCGCGCUCAACGUGGUAACUGCCUUUGAAACUGGCAAACUGGAGUGUGUGAGAGGAUAGUGGAAUUCCAGGUGUAGGAGUGAAAUGCGUAGAUAUCUGGAGGAACAUCAGUGGCGAAGGCGACUAUCUGGCACAUAACUGACGCUGAGGAGCGAAAGCGUGGGUAGCAAACAGGAUUAGAUACCCGAGUAGUC
rnacentral:rRNA from 1 species